UACGGGGGGGGCAAGCGUUGUUCGGAAUUACUGGGCGUAAAGGGCUCGUAGGCGGCCAACUAAGUCGGACGUGAAAUCCCUCGGCUUAACCGGGGGACUGCGUCUGAUACUGGAUGGCUUGAGUUCGGGAGAGGGAUGCGGAAUUCCAGGUGUAGCGGUGAAAUGCGUAGAUAUCUGGAGGAACACCGGUGGCGAAGGCGGCAGCCUGGACCGAUACUGACGCUGAUGAGCGAAAGCCAGGGGAGCAAACGGG
rnacentral:rRNA from 1 species